rnacentral:rRNA from 1 species
GUGCCAGCAGCCGCGGUAAUACGUAGGUGGCGAGCGUUGUCCGGAAUUACUGGGUGUAAAGGGCGCGUAGGCGGGGGAGUAAGUCAGAUGUGAAAGCCCAUGGCUCAACUGUGGGACUGCAUCUGAAACUACUUUUCUUGAGUGCUGGAGAGGAAAGCGGAAUUCCUAGUGUAGCGGUGAAAUGCGUAGAUAUUAGGAGGAACACCAGUGGCGAAGGCGGCUUUCUGGACAGUAACUGACGCUGAGGCGCGAAAGCGUGGGUAGCAAACAGGAUUAGAUACCCUGGUAGUCCACGCCGUAAACGAUGGAUACUAGGUGUAGGAGGUAUCGACCCCUUCUGUGCCGGAGUUAACACAAUGAGUAUCCCACCUGGGGAGUACGGCCGCAAGGUUGAAACUUAAAUGAAUUGACGG